GCGUGUGUGUGUGUUUAGGGCCCGGAUGGCUUGGGGAUAAAAGCUCCUCUUGAGUCUCUCUGUCCUUGCCCGGAUGAUGCGGAACCUUCUACCGGAUUGCAAAAGUUGGAACAGUUUGCUGCCAG